GGAGUAUGGACCGUGUCUCAGUUCCAUUGUGGGGGACCUUCCUCUCAGAACCCCUACCCAUCGUCGCCUCGGUGGGCCGUUACCCCGCCGACUAGCUAAUGGGACGCGAGCCAAUCCGUGACCACCGGAGUUUUCAACCAUGGACCAUGCGACCCACGGUAGUAUGGGGGGUUAGGCGACGUUUCCAUCGGUUAUCCCCCGGUCACGGGCAUGUCGCUCACGCGUUACGCACCCUUGCGCCGGUCGCCGCCAGAUGUAUUGCUACACCCGCGAUGCCCCUCGACUUGCAUGUGUUAAGCCUGCCGCUAGCGUUCAUC
rnacentral:rRNA from 1 species